UACGUAGGGGGCUAGCGUUGUCCGGAUUUAUUGGGCGUAAAGAGCGUGUAGGCGGCCAGGUAGGUCUGCUGUGAAAACUCGAGGCUCAACCUCGAGACGUCGGCGGAAACCAUCUGGCUAGAGUCCGGAAGAGGAGAGUGGAAUUCCUGGUGUAGCGGUGAAAUGCGCAGAUAUCAGGAAGAACACCCGUGGCGAAGGCGGUUCUCUGGGCCUUACCUGACACUGAGGAGCGAAAGCGUGGGGAGCGAACAGG
rnacentral:rRNA from 1 species